rnacentral:lncRNA from 1 species
GAGAUCGACAACUCUACUGAGAAGCCAAGUGAGAGGGCAGUCCCCGCGAGAGCUCCUGGUCACCUGCUCCUCUGCUCCCCUCAUCUCCCUUCGUCACAGCACAUGCAUCUCCUCGUGACAGAUUCGGGGUUGGUAGUUGAGAUUGAUAUGCUGCAUGGUGAUAUUACUGGGAUUGUUGUCUUAUUUUGAUGCUGGCUCUUGCUUGCCCUGGCUGCUUUAUGAAUGUGUUUCAGUGUACAGGGAGGCAGAGGGCCGUACCCCACAAUGCACCUGAGAAAAUGAGCACAUCUCUAUGUACCCCAUAGGCCCAUAUCUCAGGCCUAUCUGAAAUCCAGAGAUGAAAUCCGUAGAUUUCAAAUGAACCAUGACAUGCAAUACAUCAACAACAGCAUUUCAUUCGUGCAUACCACAGGCCUUGUGUUUUGAUGUAUUUGGUGGUGUAUGUUAACUGGGUAUUCACUCUGUCUACCUUUGCAGGAGAAGACAAUUUUCAUCUACCCAAAGUCCCUCCAUACAAGGAAUGAGAAAGCCAACAUUCGCAACUGGCAGCUCAAUAAUGCCCUCAAUGCACUUGGUGACACGAGAUCGGAGAUCCUUUUCCUCCUGGACGUUCAGCACAAGACCAAACAGACCAUGAAGGACUUGAAGAGAGCCAGGGCUCGACACGGUGAUCUUUUGGAGAAGGCCCCAAUUACCAUACUAGACUGGAUACAGAAUCUACCUGUGCUCAUGGAUUAGGUAAGUCUUCAGCUAAUUUCUUAUCAAAAUGUUUCGUUUGGUAUUUUUUAUCUGAUAGUCGUUGUAUCUUCUGAUGCAUAAUGUGUGCCCAAUGCUACAUUAGCUACAUGUUGUAAAUGUUAUCUUCAGGUGAACUCCGCACAAAGCUCUUGUACAUAUAUGCCUGUCUAGCUUAGUUUCUAUGCUGCAAGUAAACCCAUAGUUUUGUUUAAUUUCGUCACAUGUUCUGUUUUGAAGAAGAUAUUUUCUGAUUUGGUAGAUUUUGUAUGUUAUUUUGCGAUGUAGAACUUUAUUUGAGAGCAGCGCACUGCAUAUAUAUGUUCUGCUAGAAAUAGGAUAAACGAUUUCAACAGCAAACUAGGAAACUCUUCUAGCAUCUACAUUCAGAAAAGUACGGGAGAAGUACACUGAAAACAGGUUUGCCACUAACACAUAACAGAAACAUACGAUAAAUAUCAUCAGUGUGCUCAAUAAACCAUCGAUUGCAAACACGGCCAGAUGUGUGCUAUAUGAACCCAUCAUAUUCCUAAACUAUGCACCAGCAGUUAGUAGAUACUUCACUUAUGCCUCCUGAAUGCCUAUCAUGAUGUAAAUUUCCUUGGUUUACGGUGUUCAAACCGAAUGUUCCGCUUCUAGCUCCAAUGGAGCCAAAGUUAACUGACGCUAGUAUGCCAUUUGAUGCGUUAAGUCUUGUUACCUGUGACUUGUAGUGUCGUUAGUUGAAAGUAAAUUCCUCGGUUUAGGAAUGGCACUGCCAAGUUGUUUCUGCUCUAUGAUGCCUAAUGUUCCGAAUUUUGUUUCAUGCUGCAAUAAUGAUGUCCUGCUAUGCUGUUCAUUGUUACCAUUUGGUGCUCAGAGCUGCUGUCCGCCUAAUUAUUACAGCCUAAGUUUAUUAGCUCCCAUAAAGAGCCAUGACUGAGUGCUUUGGGUGAUGUCUUGCUCUAAUGCAACACAAGACCUGUUGUGCAACAUGUAGUCGAUGACCUCCAGGUCUUGUGCGCUUGCCCUCACCGGUCUCUUGCUUCAAAGAGAACCCAAGAUUGGCUCAUUAUCUUCAGAUUUCAAAUAUCCGGAUGGUGUAUGCAUGCCCUCCUAACAUUUCUUUCUUUUUAAAAACAUAUGUAAGAAUAGGCUGUUGUAAAAAAAGAGGUAAAAAUAGCCACAUAUCUAGCAUCAAACUGGCAGAAAUCCAGCAUCCUUUCUGGUAGCAUUCUUAACUGGACUAUUUCAGAAGAUAACGCACCAGCACUGGAAUAGUUUAUGGAGAGUAUGCCAGUGGCAAUAACGUGUAUCAUGCAGUAGAAGGCAACAAAAAUAGAUUACAAUAAGUUUGCGAGUAUCCUUCCUCCAAAACACAAACAACCAAGAUGCCAAUGGCAAUAACGUAAGUCCUGUGAACCACCCAUUCUUUCUCUUGACUAGGCAAUCGUGCAUAAUUUGAAUUCAUCCAAGAUGCUGCCAGAUAAGGCGUUGAAAGUUGCUGCUGAACAUUGCAACACCUUAGCACCGUGUUGCUUCCAAGGGUUCCAGCGAAAUGAGCCAAGACAGCGGAAUCGAGCAGAUAGCCACCAGCGUUGCAGAUCAUCUUGCGGAGAUGGAAUUACCACUGAAUUGCAUGCUUGAUAAGCAUCUGAACCAGAUUUGCCGGAAAAAAACACAUUUCCGCAAAAUGUGAUCCAUGUUAUCUUCAUCCUGGAAGUGGAUGCAGCAUGGCACUAGUCUACCAAUGGUCUAAAGCCUGUAGGAAUAUCUGAAAAAGCACAAUGAGGGUAACAUCAGUACAAAAUUACAAAAGGAACUCAGAGCACAUGAAUAUUGAGUGAAAGCGCUAACAAUUUGAGUGGCUGAUAUCUAAGAAUGCUCAAUACAGUGCAGAUCAUGAGAAUCCGACAAAUAUGAUGAUUCAUCCCUACAAAAUAGUGAUUGUAUCAUUGCAGAUUGUCUAUAUAAUGGGUCAAGCGAGUAAUAACAAACCAAUAAACGCACAAGCGCACGCACACAUGAUGUGAUAUAACUAAGCAUCUCCACUUAGCAUUAUUAUAAAAAAAAAGUGUGUCCGAACCUAAUUGAGUUGACUGCUUCUAGGGUUCUCUCAUGACCUUCAUCUGCUUCGUUGUUUUCAUUUUCUGAAAUAAAAAACAACAUAUUGCAGAAACCAUCACACAGUACAGAGUUGAAAAUAAGUUCACAGGCAAAAUUAAUUACAGAUUCGGAAAAUGCUGAUAGUUUAAGAACAGCCAACCAUCAAGGCUGCCGUUUUUUUUCUGACUCAUAAUGACAAUUAUUGCUGGGUGUCGAACCCAGCGCCUCGCUUCAGUUUUCCAGUAUGAGUGGCAAGACUUCGGGCAAACUGAGUAGCUACUCCACAUAUCUGAGCUCAUGUACAUCGUAAAGUGAUGAUCUGUUGCCUGACUAAUGGCCGAGAUAGAAUUUUGGUUGUCGCCAACAGCAAAACAGAACAUGCAUUGUAAGAUAUCAAGAAGGAAAAUGUUAGGGAUUAGGGUUCUACCACAAAGUCCUAACAUAUACCCAUUUCCGGUCUUCACAGUUAUUUUAAUCUCAGCAACCAGCUUCUUCUCCUGGAAUGGUACCACUGUGGUAUUAGGAAACCAAAUAGGACAGUACACGCAAAUUGCAGAUUGGUAAGUGGAAGAACCAAUAAAAAAUAAACAUGCAAUGAAACUGCUGGCUGUAUCACACCUUCCUGGAAAAGAAUGAUGUGUGUUACAUUCCUAGAGCAUGACGGUAUCGCACCAUAGGAAAGCCUCUAAAAAUUUGAGGCACCUCCCAGCCUCAUCAUUAGGAGUGUGUAUAAGCAUUGCCGUCUAAGGUCCAAAAUGAAGUAUAGCAACUUUAAUAUGACACUGAUCAGAUGCACAAUUGUUGCUUUAAUUGCUGAACAAAGAAUACUGGGCAACGAGUAUGACAACAAAUUAACCUCAUCUCAUCUCAGGAACAAAUCUACUGUCUGGUCCAUCGGCAAGUGUGACCAGAAGCAUGAUAGAACAAUGUCAGCUCUUUACAAUGGAAGAGCAUGUUUUCAUUCUUCGUACACCAGCAGUGGCAACGCUACCUAAUCUCUACACAGUCAAGCUUUGCCUCUAGUAUGUGGUGGGAGCUUAACAUUCACAUUAUAUUCUUACCAGUACGGCAAGACCAUAUGGUGAUUAAAACAGCACUUAUAUUUGCAGAGAAGCCUGUACAGCAAAUCAGCAAGUUGGGGUUCAUGGCACUAGGUAUUUUAGUUCCACUGGAUCAUUAACAAUCUAUUCAACAGCAGUGACUCUGGUGAGUUUUAGCAGCAUGCAAUUGAAAGGAAAGGGAAGGAAUAUACGCACUUCGUCGCAUGUUUCCUGCAUAGUAUCAGUAUCAGCCACUCUACCAUGGUAAGCUGAACCUGCAGCGAAAGAGACAGAAAAUUGUUGAUCAUAUUUAGCAGUUACUUCCAAAUUGCCAAUGGCCAAGAUCUGGUAACUGGAAGCAACGACAAAGGAAUCGGCAUUAAUGGUUUUUUAUUGAUUAACAUCACACUCAUAACCCAAGCUUUGGUUGCUUCAGUUGCACCAUAAUCUGAAUCGAAAUGUCUCAUUUUUGUAGCGUGUCCCCGUUUGGCAUUUGGGAUAUGUUGCAGUAACAUAUCCCAAGCUUACCUUCUGAUACAGCCACUGCAUUUACUUUUGUAGGUGUCCAUAGCCUCAAGCUCACCGUGUUUUGAACUAAAGCAAAACUCUGACAAAAAAGGAGUUUGAAUCGGGCUAUGUAUAACAUAAAAGGAACCAAUCACACGCACAAGCAUAACUGAAAAGGAUUCUGAACCCCUUCCAACAUACACCAUACUUCUCCAGAUCCAGAGAAAGAAAAGACGCAUCACUAAACCAUGGCAUAGCAUCACAACAUAUAUACAAGACAGUUCAUCAGCAAAAAUGAAACCUGCAUACUGGCUAGUUAAGGUGAAAGUAGUCCUCACCAGACGCUAGUGUCAGGGAUCAAAUUGGCAUCACAUGAACAUGGCUAGUUAAGGAGUAAUAUUUCAGCAAACUCACUGAGGUCUGAGGGCAAGUUGCAGCACGGCCCUUGCAAAAAGGCAUCACAUAUUGCACUCAACACCCUAAUCAGCUAAAAAAGGUCACUCUUGUGCCAUAAUAAUACAAAAUAAGACUGUACCAAUGCAGAACAGAGUCGCAAUUCCACAUAGUAGUCGCAAUUCCACAUACUACUCCCUCCGUAAAGAAAUAUAAGUCUGUUUAGCUCACUAAAGUAGUGGUCUAAACGCUCUUAUAUUUCUUUACAGAGGGAGUAUUCAAUAAUGUUUUCACAUUGGCACAGCCUAGCAUGUACUACUAUCAAAGCUAAGAAACAAAGGGCUGAUAUUAUUUCCAUGAGCCAUAGGUGAUCUACUAUGCACAUCAACAUGAAUUCCACAGUAACAUGUCAUGUACAUGACCUUCAAAACCACACAAGGUGAAAACUUUUGAUACGAAAAAUAAAUAACUAGCAUGCACAAUCAGAUGGUCCAACCAGGAUCCAAACGUAACACUUGCAGAAGAUUCCCCAAUCAGCAAAGAAAAGAAGAAACCUCUUGUGCAAGAUAAACAUACUCCCUCCAUCACAUAAUAUAAGAGCGUUUUUUACACUACAUUAGCCUAAAAAAACACUCUUAUAUUGGGACGGAGGGAGUAGUAGAUUAACGCACAUUCAUUUGAUCAUCAUUGCCUAGCUUAUUAAAGCUAAUAAGAUGGUGACAGCACAACUUGAUAACAAGAUAACAGCAUCACAAAGACACAGAUGAAUCCAUAACAUAGAUGAACCCCAGAUUAAUUACAUAGAUAGAUAAAUAGACCGACCAUACAAAGCAAGCACAGCAUUGGUGAACCGGCCAGGCCUAGUAAAUCCUCGAUGAUAUCAUUUGGAUUUGAGAACAGAUUCAAAUUGCUCUUGCAGAAGCCUCUGGAUAGCCUUGGCAUUCUCGAGCCUAGGCAAAACCCUUUCGACCACGAACUUGUCGUGCUUUGCCUUCUCCUCCUCAUAAAAGGCUGCAAACUCGGCUUCCGAGACGGGUUCAUCAUCAUCAUCGGAACUGUCCACCUCGGAGUCUGCUCCUGCAACUUCGAUAGCCUGCACUGUAGUCACUGGGACGGCAAGGGCAAUAUCUUCCUCGUCGUGCCCGUCAGCCGGCACCUUCCUUUUGGUGGAGCAGAUCUUUAGCGAACACUCCUGCUCCCCUGUGGAGUCCUUCAUGCUCUGGUUGGUGCACUGCUUGAACUGAAACUCCUUGCCGGCGAACGCCGCCGCCGCCGCCGUGCUUGUGGUUGUGCACGGCUUGCGGUUCGUGGGCUCCGUUGCCGACUCGGUCCGUGAUGGGCCAACAGGCCUCUUCCACUUUCCUGGUUUCUGUUCCAACAAGGAGAGAAUAUGGCCGACUGCUGCUACCACUCCCACCCACGCGCUCGGUUUUGUUUGAUUUUGGUAGCAACCUCUCCGUUUUCAACUCCUUCUGGUGGCAUCCCUAAACAAAAACUCCUUGCGGUGGCAGUCAAUUUUUUUUUGUCUAGGUCACAUCUAGAUGUGACAUACUUAUAUUGCACAUCUAAGUGACACAAUCAAGUAUGGAAAGAAAAAUUUCCCUCAAAAAAAGUAUGAAAAGGAAAAAAAAAUGCAAAAAGAAAUACCCAUACGAAUCUAGAUGCGCAAUACUUAUGACACAUCUAGAUGUGCUUUAGCAAAACUGAAAAAAAACAAAACUCCUUUUGAUGGUGGCUUUUUUUUAAAACAAAGUACUAGAUAAAGAACCCCAAUUCUUAAAAGAAGGUAGAGAAACCCAAUACACAUCUUCUUCUAUGAGAACCCCAAUAUACAUCUGACGUCGGAUCUUUUAGCGUCAUAAAUUUGGCUACCUCAGCUACUUCGGAUCCCAAAUGCAUGACAAUUACUCACUGCAGUAUGGCAAUUUUUAUGACCAUUUUUUACACUGCCUGGAAAUUUUUCACUUCAAAAACAUGGCAAAUCUUACACAACAUUGAUCAUGGCAAAUUUAUCUAUUUCCGCAUGACAAAUUUUGAUGUUUGCAGGCAAAAGUCAAAAGGCUGAUGUCAACUUUUAAAUAUUUACCUAGAUAAAUGGAAUGUUCUCUUUUGUACUUGCCGAGAUAUACAUGGAAAGUUCUCAAAAACAUAUAAAUGGAAAACAAAUAUUUUUAAUGCAGCUCAUCUCAUUCUCGGUGAGUUGGCGUCGAGUUUGUAACCGUUUUGUGUUUAAAAUCUUUUUAAUUAUUCUGAGCUUUUUCAUGCCCUUGCGAAUUCAUAGUCCCUACUCACUUACACAUUCUGUUGACCACUAUGUUAGAGAAUGACAUUGAAUUCGAUUCUCUUUCAACAAACAACGUGCUACCCAAAUACACAUUCUACGUACCAGUGGAGAUCAUUAAUGAUAAAAAAACCAUAGCUAUAUAUUCUCGCCACGACAUAUGGCAAUAUAUCCUCGUACCUCCAUCCUAAAAGAGGGAGUGCCCUGUCAAGGCACUCCCAAUACAAUGUAUCUUAAGCACCUCCUGAAUUAGCACAAUACCUCUAGUCUUGUGUGUUUUACACUAGUACUACUUCACAUAGUAUCGACCAUAACACUAGUACUUCUGUGUUUUAUGCAUUUGUUUCCAUGCCAUCAUACUUAUAUUUACAUUGUAACUGCUUUUAAUGAUUCUAUAUACACAAGCUACUAAGUUCACCCACCUUUUGAAUAUCUCAUUGAUCUAGGACUUGUGGAAUGGAUUCAAGUUGUAUGAUGGUGCUCUACUGUUUGGUAACACAUUUUCUCUUGUUUCAGGCCCCUCCAGUUGUCUCUACAACUUCAAAACGCAACAAAAGGUAGGCGAUUGCUUUUGGCUCCUGGGCUCGAUGGAGUCCAGAUUUUGAAAAGGAAUAAAAAUCUAAAUUAAACAAUUAUGAAAAUAAAUACACACAUACAUAUGGUUGUGCGCCACUUGCUUGUAUAUUUUCUUUUUUUUUGAACAAUUUGCUUGUAUAUUUUCAUGAUGAAAUGCAUUUUUGUGCGAGCUAUAGACAAAAAAACAUGUAUUCCUAACAUAUGUAUUAUUUCACUACAAAAGUAGAUAAAUCUUUUCUUGUGUGGCACACAUCAGAACAUAUUUCAUCAUGGAAAUCUGACACACAUUUUGUAUACAUAUCUAAGCAAGUGUGUAUUUUUUCAGAUUUUUUUGAACUUCGGAAUGUGAUUUUUCAAGUUUUUUAAAUUUCAGGUUCCAUGCUGGGAGCCAAAAAUCCACACUCAACAAAGGUGAUAAAGUAAGAGGAAAUUACAAUGGAGGUCCAUCAAGGAGUUAUUGAUUAGUCUAAUCGUUUUGAAAAUUCCUUUGGCCAUCUUAGGGGAAAGAUUCAUAAUAUAAAGUCCAGGCUUAAGAUCACAAGAAUACUCUUUUACAUAAAAGAACCAAGCAUAGAAGUCCAAGCAUAUCUCUGCAUCCUGAUGAUGGUGAUAAUGCUGGAGAUCGAGAUGACAAAGAGGAGGUAGAGAUCGAUGAAGAUGAUGACGUAGUAGAAUAUAUACAUGUACUUGAUCUUCUCUCCCCAUGGCCAAAUGCAUCACUUUGAAGCAUGUCAAUAUCACAUACACAAUCUGCAUAUCGAACUAAUAUCAUCCACCAAUGAGGCUGGCUCAUGAUUUAGAUUUCACUUUUGUGUCGAUUUAAAAAAUCAAACAAAGGGACGGUUGACUCAAUGGGAUGUUUGAGAUGCGAUGAUGGUCAACAUAUUAUGGUAUGCAUGUACGAUACAUUCAUUUAAUUAGUAAUCUAAGACUCUGAUUUCUAUGGAAUAUAGAAUAAUUAU